CCUACGGGCGGCAGCAGUUGAGAAUCAUUCACAAUGGGGGAAACCCUGAUGGUGCGACGCCGCGUGGGGGAAUGAAGGUCUUCGGAUUGUAAACCCCUGUCAUGUGGGAGCAAAUUAAAAAGAUAGUACCACAAGAGGAAGAGACGGCUAACUCUGUGCCAGCAGCCGCGGUAAUACAGAGGUCUCAAGCGUUGUUCGGAAUCACUGGGCGUAAAGCGUGCGUAGGCUGUUUCGUAAGUCGUGUGUGAAAGGCGCGGGCUCAACCCGCGGACGGCACAUGAUACUGCGAGACUAGAGUAAGGGAGGGGGAACCGGAAUUCUCGGUGUAGCAGUGAAAUGCGUAGAUAUCGAGAGGAACACUCGUGGCGAAGGCGGGUUCCUGGACAUUAACUGACGCUGAGGCACGAAGGCCAGGGGAGCGAAAGGGAUUAGAUACCCUUGUAGUC
rnacentral:rRNA from 1 species